rnacentral:rRNA from 1 species
GAUGAACGCUGGCGGCGUGCCUAAUACAUGCAAGUCGAGCGAACGGACGAGAAGCUUGCUUCACUGAUGUUAGCGGCGGACGGGUGAGUAACACGUGGAUAACCUACCUAUAAGACUGGGAUAACUUCGGGAAACCAGAGCUCAUACCGGAUAAUAUUUUGAACCGCAUGGUUCAAAAGUGAAAGACGGUCUUGCUGUCACUUAUAGAUGGAUCCGCGCUGCAUUAGCUAGUUGGUAAGGUAACGGCUUACCAAGGCAACGAUGCAUAGCCGACCUGAGAGGGUGAUCGGCCACACUGGAACUGAGACACGGUCCAGACUCCUACGGGAGGCAGCAGUAGGGAAUCUUCCGCAAUGGGCGAAAGCCUGACGGAGCAACGCCGCGUGAGUGAUGAAGGUCUUCGGAUCGUAAAACUCUGUUAUUAGGGAAGAACAUAUGUGUAAGUAACUGUGCACAUCUUGACGGUACCUAAUCAGAAAGCCACGGCUAACUACGUG